UAGUCCGUUCCACAAACGACAUCCUCAAAGAUACUCCAUCCUUUUAAAUAUUCCACAAUUUGCAGCUACAUAUCCUACAGUACAUAUGAACAGCAAGAUUUACUCAGCAAUUAAUGUCGUUUGCACCAUUAAAGUAUGCCAGCUGAUCAAUGGAAAAAAGCAGUGCAAUGUACAAGGGUUAUUUGCUCCAAGCCAAUCACAUUAUUAUUCACAUGCCCAGUAAAAGAAAUAUAUUUGAGGCCACUUUGCUGUUCUUUCGUAACACCCCAAAAAGUACACUAUUACUGACAAAGAAGACUGCCAUGGGACAUGAUGUUGGAGGCAGCAAGCACUUCUGAAACACCGGUAAACUUCUACCAGACUACAGGGAGCAACAACCCAGAAAACAGACAUCUUCAAGAGGAGUACUUACUAUUGGACAGAGGAGGUGGCUUUGUCAUACAAGCUGGUGAAAACAUCACCAGAUGAUUUUUUUAAAUCCUUAACAUGUAGUAGAGAGUCACAUGUUAGUUAAAAUAAAAAUGUAAUUAUGCAGUUUU